GCCCGCUUAGCUCAGA
rnacentral:tRNA from 17 species